UACGUAGGGGGCAAGCGUUGUCCGGAUUUAUUGGGCGCAAAGAGCGUGUAGGCGGUUUGGUAGGUCCGCUGUGAAAACUCGAGGCUCAACCUCGAGACGCCGGUGGAAACCAUCAGACUAGAGUCCGGAAGAGGAGAGUGGAAUUCCUGGUGUAGCGGUGAAAUGCGUAGAUAUCAGGAGGAACACCGAUGGCGAAGGCAGGUCUCUGGGCUGACACUGACGCUCAUGCACGAAAGCGUGGGGAGCAAACAGG
rnacentral:rRNA from 1 species